GCCAAAGGAACGCGGUGGCGCGCGCCUGUAGUCCCAGCUACUCAGGAGGCUGAGGCCGGAGGAUCGCUUGAGUCCAGGAGUUCUGGGCUGUCGUGCGCUAUGCCGAUCGGGUGUCCGCACUAAGUUCGGCAUCAAUAUGGUGACCUCCCGGGAGCGGGGUACCACCAGGUUGCCUAAGGAGGGGUGAACCGGCCCAGGUCGGAAACGGAGCAGGUCAAAUAAGUUUUUAAAAAAGAUAUCUUGAAUUAAUAGAGGGAAAGUGCAGCAUUUAAAAAAAAAAAGCUUU
ensembl:misc_RNA Metazoa_SRP Metazoan signal recognition particle RNA